rnacentral:rRNA from 1 species
GGCCAGGCUGAAGACUUUUGCCGGAUUUAGCUGAGAGGUGGUGCAUGGCCGUCGUCAGUUCGUACUGUGAAGCAUCCUGUUAAGUCAGGCAACGAGCGAGACCCACGCCCACAGUUUGCCAGCGUACUCUCUGGAGUGACGGGUACACUGUGGGGACCGCCGCUGCUAAAGCGGAGGAAGGAAUGGGCAACGGUAGGUCAGUAUGCCCCGAAUAUCCCGGGCUACACGCGAGCUACAAUGGUUGGUACAAUGGGUAUCUACCCCGAAAGGGGACGGGAAUCUCCUAAAACCAAUCUUAGUUCGGAUUGAGGGCUGCAACUCGCCCUCAUGAAGGCGGAAUCCGUAGUAAUCGCGUCUCAAGAUGGCGCGGUGAAUAUGUCCCUGCUCCUU